AGGUUUUUUAGACCACAAUGUAGUGCUCAUGAACAGUGACAGUUAGCACUGGAAGCUGAAAUCCUUCAUUGGGCUUCAGAACAGGCACAAGGCACAAGAAGCCCCAUGUGACCUUCAGCUUCUGUGAGUGGAAGGUAGCAAAGCCUAGCAAAUGAGGGCCAGAAGGAUGCAUCAAGUGUAGAGGCAAGAGGAAGCAAAUCUUGUCUCCUCCAGCGGAAGAUGAGAAGCAAACUCAAGCAGGCUGGAUUCUCUAGUUGGCUUACACAAUCCAGCUGCAAAUGCCCAAUAGAGAAUUCCCAUCAGAGGAGAACGUCCUCCUGGUGCAUCUUCAGUACAACAUACUCUGCAUUUUUGCACUCCCUCACCUCCUGGCAUAGGUGGUUUGACAGGACUGGGACAGGUUAUGGCAGACUUUCUACUCAAAGUCAACAGUCCUACCUACUGAUGCAACACCGCUUCCUGCGUUGCUUGGUUUUAUCUUGGAAGUCCAGGUAUGACAGCUGGCAGCCUGGAAAUGCUGCAGCAAAUUAUAUUGACCAAUUAAGAACAGCUUAUAAAACAGCAUAACAAGUGCUAAUGUGUAUGAAAGUUAGUGUGCAAAUGUCUACAGGAAAGCAUCACACAUAGAACAGAAAUAUCGACAGUAUAUUGCAAAGUGUCCCCAAACAAAUCCUUUUCUCUCAUGUUUAGCCCUCAUUUAACAAAAACAAACAAAAACAAAAAACCCAAUCCCUCCCCCCCCGACAAACCAAAAA